rnacentral:rRNA from 1 species
UACGGGGGGUGCGAGCGUUGUCCGGAAUCACUGGGCGUAAAGGGCGCGUAGGUGGUUUGAUAAGGGUGUGGUGAAAGCCCGGGGCUCAACCCCGGGUCUGCCGUGCCGACUGUCAAACUCGAGGGCUGUAGAGGCAGACGGAAUUCCGGGUGUAGCGGUGGAAUGCGUAGAGAUCCGGAGGAACACCAAUAGCGAAGGCAGCUCGCUGGGACGGUACUGACGCUAAGGCGCGAAAGCGUGGGGAGCGAACAGG